UACUCGGAUAACUGUGGCAAUUCUAGAGCUAAUACGUGCAAGAAAGCUCGGACCUUUUGGGAAGAGCGCAUUUAUUAGACCAAAACCAAUCGGGCUUCGGCCUGAGCGGUGGUGACUCUGAAUAACUAAGCUGAUCGCACAGUCUUAGUACCGGCGACGCAUUUUUCAAAUGUCUGCCUUAUCAACUUUCGAUGGUAGUUUAUGUGCCUACCAUGGUUGUAACGGGUAACGGAGAAUAAGGGUUCGACUCCGGAGAGGGAGCCUGAGAAACGGCUACCACAUCCAAGGAAGGCAGCAGGCGCGCAAAUUACCCAAUCCCGCANCGAGGAGGUAGUGACGAAAAAAUAACGCCUUUAAUGGUCUUAUAGGNUCCCGCCAUUCGGAAUG
rnacentral:rRNA from 1 species